rnacentral:rRNA from 1 species
AGUGAACGCUGGCGGUGGGCCUAACACAUGCAAGUCGAACGGCAGCACAGUAAGAGCUUGCUCUUACGGGUGGCGAGUGGCGGACGGGUGAGGAAUACAUCGGAAUCUACUUUUUCGUGGGGGAUAACGUAGGGAAACUUACGCUAAUACCGCAUACGACCUACGGGUGAAAGCAGGGGAUCUUCGGACCUUGCGCGAUUGAAUGAGCCGAUGUCGGAUUAGCUAGUUGGCGGGGUAAAGGCCCACCAAGGCGACGAUCCGUAGCUGGUCUGAGAGGAUGAUCAGCCACACUGGAACUGAGCCACGGUCCAGACUCCUACGGGAGGCAGCAGUGGGGAAUAUUGGACAAUGGGCGCAAGCCUGAUCCAGCCAUACCGCGUGGGUGAAGAAGGCCUUCGGGUUGUAAAGCCCUUUUGUUGGGAAAGAAAAGCAGCAGGUUAAUACCCCGCUGUUCUGACGGUACCCAAAGAAUAAGCACCGGCUAACUUCGUG